rnacentral:rRNA from 1 species
UUUGGUUAAGUUAGAAAGGGCGCACGGUGGAUGCCUUGACACUAGGAGUCGAUGAAGGACGGGACUAACGCCGAUAUGCUUCGGGGAGCUGUAAGUAAGCUUUGAUCCGAAGAUUUCCGAAUGGGGAAACCCACCAUACGUAAUGGUAUGGUAUCCUUAUCUGAAUACAUAGGGUAAGGAAGACAGACCCAGGGAACUGAAACAUCUAAGUACCUGGAGGAAGAGAAAGCAAAUGCGAUUUCCUGAGUAGCGGCGAGCGAAACGGAACAUAGCCCAAACCAAGAGGCUUGCCUCUUGGGGUUGUAGGACAUUCUAUACGGAGUUACAAAGGAACGAGGUAGACGAAGCGACCUGGAAAGGUCCGUCGUAGAGGGUAACAACCCCGUAGUCGAAACUUCGUUCUCUCUUGAAUGUAUCCUGAGUACGGCGGAACACGUGAAAUUCCGUCGGAAUCUGGGAGGACCAUCUCCCAAGGCUAAAUACUCCCUAGUGAUCGAUAGUGAACCAGUACCGUGAGGGAAAGGUGAAAAGCACCCCGGAAGGGGAGUGAAAGAGAUCCUGAAACCGUGUGCCUACAAAUAGUCAGAGCCCGUUAACGGGUGAUGGCGUGCCUUUUGUAGAAUGAACCGGCGAGUUACGAUCCCGUGCGAGGUUAAGCUGAAGAGGCGGAGCCGCAGCGAAAGCGAGUCUGAAUAGGGCGUUUAGUACGUGGUCGUAGACCCGAAACCAGGUGAUCUACCCAUGUCCAGGGUGAAGUUCAGGUAACACUGAAUGGAGGCCCGAACCCACGCACGUUGAAAAGUGCGGGGAUGAGGUGUGGGUAGCGGAGAAAUUCCAAUCGAACCUGGAGAUAGCUGGUUCUCCCCGAAAUAGCUUUAGGGCUAGCCUUAAGUGUAAGAGUCUUGGAGGUAGAGCACUGAUUGGACUAGGGGUCCUCAUCGGAUUACCGAAUUCAGUCAAACUCCGAAUGCCAAUGACUUAUCCUUAGGAGUCAGACUGCGAGUGAUAAGAUCCGUAGUCAAAAGGGAAACAGCCCAGACCGCCAGCUAAGGUCCCAAAGUGUGUAUUAAGUGGAAAAGGAUGUGGAGUUGCUUAGACAACUAGGAUGUUGGCUUAGAAGCAGCCACCAUUUAAAGAGUGCGUAAUAGCUCACUAGUCGAGUGACUCUGCGCCGAAAAUGUACCGGGGCUAAAUACACCACCGAAGCUGCGGAUUGAUACCAAUGGUAUCAGUGGUAGGGGAGCGUUCUAAGGACAGUGAAGUCAGACCGGAAGGACUGGUGGAGUGCUUAGAAGUGAGAAUGCCGGUAUGAGUAGCGAAAGACGGGUGAGAAUCCCGUCCACCGAAUGCCUAAGGUUUCCUGAGGAAGGCUCGUCCGCUCAGGGUUAGUCAGGACCUAAGCCGAGGCCGACAGGCGUAGGCGAUGGACAACAGGUUGAUAUUCCUGUACCACCUCUUUAUCGUUUGAGCAAUGGAGGGACGCAGAAGGAUAGAAGAAGCGUGCGAUUGGUUGUGCACGUCCAAGCAGUUAGGCUGAUAAGUAGGCAAAUCCGCUUAUCGUGAAGGCUGAGCUGUGAUGGGGAAGCUCCUUAUGGAGCGAAGUCUUUGAUUCCCCGCUGCCAAGAAAAGCUUCUAGCGAGAUAAAAGGUGCCUGUACCGCAAACCGACACAGGUAGGCGAGGAGAGAAUCCUAAGGUGUGCGAGAGAACUCUGGUUAAGGAACUCGGCAAAAUGACCCCGUAACUUCGGGAGAAGGGGUGCUUUCUUAACGGAAAGCCGCAGUGAAUAGGCCCAAGCGACUGUUUAGCAAAAACACAGCUCUCUGCGAAGCCGUAAGGCGAAGUAUAGGGGGUGACACCUGCCCGGUGCUGGAAGGUUAAGGAGAGGGGUUAGCGUAAGCGAAGCUCUGAACUGAAGCCCCAGUAAACGGCGGCCGUAACUAUAACGGUCCUAAGGUAGCGAAAUUCCUUGUCGGGUAAGUUCCGACCCGCACGAAAGGUGUAACGAUUUGGGCACUGUCUCAACCAGAGACUCGGUGAAAUUAUAGUACCUGUGAAGAUGCAGGUUACCCGCGACAGGACGGAAAGACCCCGUGGAGCUUUACUGUAGCCUGAUAUUGAAUUUUGGUACAGUUUGUACAGGAUAGGCGGGAGCCUUUGAAACCGGAGCGCUAGCUUCGGUGGAGGCGCUGGUGGGAUACCGCCCUGACUGUAUUGAAAUUCUAACCUACGGGUCUUAUCGACCCGGGAGACAGUGUCAGGUGGGCAGUUUGACUGGGGCGGUCGCCUCCUAAAGUGUAACGGAGGCGCCCAAAGGUUCCCUCAGAAUGGUUGGAAAUCAUUCGUAGAGUGCAAAGGCAUAAGGGAGCUUGACUGCGAGACCUACAAGUCGAGCAGGGACGAAAGUCGGGCUUAGUGAUCCGGUGGUUCCGCAUGGAAGGGCCAUCGCUCAACGGAUAAAAGCUACCCCGGGGAUAACAGGCUUAUCUCCCCCAAGAGUCCACAUCGACGGGGAGGUUUGGCACCUCGAUGUCGGCUCAUCGCAUCCUGGGGCUGUAGUCGGUCCCAAGGGUUGGGCUGUUCGCCCAUUAAAGCGGUACGCGAGCUGGGUUCAGAACGUCGUGAGACAGUUCGGUCCCUAUCCGUCGUGGGCGUAGGAAAUUUGAGAGGAGCUGUCCUUAGUACGAGAGGACCGGGAUGGACGCACCGCUGGUGUACCAGUUGUUCUGCCAAGGGCAUAGCUGGGUAGCUAUGUGCGGAAGGGAUAAGUGCUGAAAGCAUCUAAGCAUGAAGCCCCCCUCAAGAUGAGAUUUCCCAUAGCGUAAGCUAGUAAGAUCCCUGAAAGAUGAUCAGGUUGAUAGGUUCGAGGUGGAAGCAUGGUGA